AUACGUAGGGAGCGAGCGUUGUCCGGAAUUACUGGGUGUAAAGGGUGCGUAGGCGGGAUGGCAAGUCAGAUGUGAAAUGCCGGGGCUCAACCCCGGAGCUGCAUUUGAAACUGUCGUUCUUGAGUGAGGUAGAGGUAAGCGGAAUUCCUAGUGUAGCGGUGAAAUGCGUAGAUAUUAGGAGGAACACCAGUGGCGAAGGCGGCUUGCUGGACGAAAACUGACGCUGAGGCGCGAAAGCGUGGGGAGCAAACAGGAUUAGAUACCCGGGUAGUCCACGCCGUAAACUAUGGAAGCUAGCCGUCAGUCAGCUUGCUGAGUGGUGGCGCAGCUAACGCAUUAAGCUUCCCGCCUGGGGAGUACGGUCGCAAGAUUAAAACUCAAAUGAAUUGGCGGGG
rnacentral:rRNA from 1 species